GACGAACGCUGGCGGCGUGCUUAACACAUGCAAGUCGAACGGAAAGGCCCUGCUUUUGUGGGGUGCUCGAGUGGCGAACGGGUGAGUAACACGUGAGUAACCUGCCCUUGACUUUGGGAUAACUUCAGGAAACUGGGGCUAAUACCGGAUAGGAGCUCCUGCUGCAUGGUGGGGGUUGGAAAGUUUCGGCGGUUGGGGAUUGACUCGCGGCUUAUCAGCUUGUUUGUUGGGUAGUGGCUUACCAAGGCUUUGACGGGUAGCCGGCCUGAGAGGGUGACCGGGGAAAAUGGGAGUGAGAGACGGAGCAGAAGGCAACGGGAGGCAGCAGGGGGGAAUAUUGCACAAUGGGAGGAAGCAUGAUGAAGAAAAGCCGCGAGCGGGAUGACGGCCUUCGGGUUGUAAACAGCUUUAGAAUGUGAAGAAGAGUGAGUGACGGUAAUGGGUAAAGAAGCACCGGCUAACUACGUG
rnacentral:rRNA from 1 species